UUCAUUUUGAGAAGAAAGGUUAUAAACGUGUAGCAAGCACAGUGUUGACUAGCUUUCAUCAGUUACUUUUCUCAACACCGUUACAAACACCUGAUGAAACAACUCAAGGGAGGUUUGUCUUGGCUCACAGUUUGAAAGCACCUGGCCUAUCAUGGCGGCCAGGCAAGCCAUAGGAAGUAACUUGCCAUCUCUUUGUAUCUACAGCUACUUGGGAGAGAGGCAGAGAGGGCGAGGAUGCUGCUGGCCUUCAUCUGGCUUUUCUCAUCUUUCCAUUUUUAUUUAGCUUACGAAUCCAACUCACAGGAUGAUGCCAUCUAUAUUUAGAAUAAUUCCACACCCUCGGUUUAAUUUCUCUGAAAACUUCUGUACAGAUACAACCAAAGGACUGUCUCAUUAAUGCCCAAGGAAUUUCUUGUCUCUUUUGUUGAAUUUUAUUUUAUUUUGAGACGUGGUCUAACUAUGCAGCCCUGGCUGGCCUGCCAUCCUUCUUUUUAUACCUUAUUCUCUAUUCUCUCUCUCUCUCUCUCUCUCUCUCUGUAUUCAUGUGUGGGCACAUAUGUGCGUGCAUAUGCAUAUGUGUGGAGGCCAGCAGGUGAUGUUUGGUAUCUGUCCUGCUCAUACUUUACCCACUGAGUUAGUUCCUCUCCUGCUAGAUGUUUCUUAACCCAAUUCCUUUUUCUUUUUUCUUUUAUGAGAUCAGCCUGUGUAGCUCAAACUUGAACUUGUGAUCUUCUUGCCUUGGUCUCCAGAGUGCUGGGAUAACAGGUGUGUGGUACCACAACUGUCGUAAUUUUAUUUAAUUUUUGAUGAGAUCAGGAAUUGAAUCUAGGAACUUGUCUCAUGCCAGGCAAGUACUGUACCAUGGCGAUUUAUAGCCCCUGCUCAUCUUAACCACCAUAAAGCAUAUGGUUCAACAAUGUUCUGUAUGUUCACAUUAUCUGUAGCAGAUCUCUAGUCUUCUUCAUUUUGCAAAAAUGAUACAACCCAUUGAGUAGAAAUCCUGACUUUCUCUUUUCCUCAGCUCUGGCAACUACCUUUCUGUGCUGUUUCUGUUGGUGUGAGGGAGGCUCGUGCAGCAUUUGUCUUUAAUGAAUGGCUUAUUUACUCAGCCUAAUGCCCCAGACAUUCAUCCACACUGUAGCAUGUGACAGAAUUCUUUUCUUUUUAAAUUUUCUUUUCAUUUUAUGUAGGUCAUAUUUUUAUUAGUUUGUUUCUUAUUUAUUUUUUGUUGUUUUGAGACAGGCUUUCUCUCUUGCAGCCCUGGCUGUCCUGGAACUCAGAGAUCUGCCUUCUUCUGCCUCCCAAGUGUUGGCAUUAAAGGUGUGCACCACUACUGUCUGGCUUCAUUUACAAUUUUUAAGUAACAUUUUCAUUUAUUCUUUUAUGUUUUAAUAGAUGGAUAUGGCACAUGUGACAUCACGCUGUAAGACUAUUCCGUAGUUCUCUCUCCCAUCCUCUGUUACAUCAUUGCGUGCCUCUUUGGGCUUGCAAGGCCCACCUUCCACAGUUGGCACACUGCUGCCACCAGCUGACAUGAUGGUGAUCAUUUAAAUCAUAUCUACCCACUGUUUGCCCACUCUAGCUUUCCCCAAACCACCUCCAACAUGUCUCCUCUCAAUGUCAUCCCCCCAGCUCUUUCCUUUUUAAAUGACCAACUGAGUCUAAUUAGCGUGGCUCUCUGCCCAUGCACUAGAGCAUGAACCCACCGGAGGCUGCAGUCCGUGGGCCCUAGGAGGAUCUAUUCUAGUUGAUUUGUUAAAUGGUCAUGUUGCUCGGACUCUGACCACCCAGAACUGGCCUGACCACCCAGUUCUUCCAAAGUCUAACCCACCAACCAAGGAGUGUACUUGUUAAUUGGUUAGGUUGGAGCCUGUCAGUUUCAUCACUAUUAGACAUUCUCUUUUUUAUUUGUCUAAUAAUGACAAAGAUGACAGAUGUGAACCUAACAAAUAAAUAAGUAGAACCAGGAAUGGGGAAAACUGACAUCUUGGGUCUCGUGGUUAAGAAAGAUAACUAUUUAGAAUUUUUGCAAUUAAAAAAUAUCGAUGAUAUUCUGAGACUGAAUAUCACCUCUAGCAUUCAUCGGCUAUUCUAGCCUGGGUCACUUACUAUCAUGGUGGUUCUCGGAUAAAUCAUAUCUCUUAAACCCUAACAUCUUCAAAUAAAGUUGUUUCUAUUUUUUCUUAUGUAAUUAGACAGCCUUAAGGGAAUAAAAAUUAGUUUAUCCACACACAUCACACUGUUUAUCCUAGCAGAGGUGUUGGUAAAUCAGUAGGAAUAAAAUUUGGAAUCUAUUUGACCUAUUUACUGGGUGAUGUGAAAGCCAUGGGGGUUGAUUACUGCUAGUGCUGGGCUAGAAGAGAGGCUCCUCAGGGGCAAAGGCUCAGCCCACUCUUCUUUUAGGAUCUUUAGAACUCAGCAGGUGUCCAGCAAAACCGGAGGCAAUGUGGCUUGCUAGGAUUUUAGAAGAAAGUCUUGUCUCUUUCAACAAAUAACCUUUAUUGUGCUUUAAAGGAAAUACCCUGACUUUCACUUGGGCUAUGUUACAGUCUGAACAUCUGUGUCCCUAUCUCCCCUAUUUGUAUGAUGAAACCUUAAAUCCAGAGGUCAAGAUAUUUUUGAGCUGCUUAGGUCACUAGGACUGAUUCCUCAUAUAUAGAGUUAUUGCCCUUGUAAAAGAGAACACUGGGGAGUUGACUUGUUCCUUCUACCAUGUAAGCACCCAAUGACACGUGAGUAUUCUGUGAUCCAAAGGACAGCAUGGCACAGUUGCAUGUGAUCUUUAAUCUUCUAGCUUCAAGAGCCACGAGACAUACAUCUCUAUUUUUAUAAGACACCCAACUUAGUGUAUUCUAUUGGAAUAGUCUAAACAGACCAACAAGGCUCUGAUAGUCAAGGAUUUGGAGAUGGGAAGAGUACAUUGGAGAGGAGGCUUGGAACAAUAACACCCAACUUUUACUUAGCAACUAAGACUGACUUUCUGAAUGUUGGGAUUGUCACCAGCAGUGACCAAGUAGCCAUGAGUCCUCAGAAAGCUGAGAUAACUGGAGGCUGGCUUGUUACUCAGAGGUAAGGUAUUUCUAUUAGAUUGUUUCAUAACGGAGGAGGUGAUUAGUUUUUCCAGAUUAGUUUUCCUGGUUUAAGUUGGUUUCAUUGCAUAGCAUGUACCAGGGAAUCCUCAUGCAGGGGAAAUGAUUUUAUCUUACGGAACAUUAGUGUCUUAGUUUCUUUUUUCUGAUAAAAUGACUACCAAAAUGAACUUGAAGGAGAUAGGGUUUAUUUUGCCUUAUAAUUCCCGGGGACAGUCCAUCGUCUGGGUGAGUAAAGGCAGGAGGAGGAGCUUGAAGCAGCUGCUCACCCCACACCUAUAAUCAUAAGCAGAGAUGACAAAUGAAAUACUUGGCUCGUUUUCUCCUUUUUGGAUAAUCUAGUACUCAAGCAAGGGAAUGGUGUUUUCCGUUUUUAGUAUUGGUCUUCCCACCUCAAUUAACCCAAUGUACCUACUCGUUUCAGGUGUGACCAGAGGCUAAACAAUUUCUUCCAGAUCCUGUCAAGUUAACAAUUAAAGUGUAUCCGGGUACCACAUAUAUGUCUACUGUCCCUGAAGAUCUGAAGAGGGUGUCAAAUCCCCUGGAACUGGAGUUAUAGACAGAGAUGAGCUAUCAUGUAGGAGCUUGGAAUUAAACCUGGUUUUCUAA